ACCUGCCGCCGCUGCCGGCUCUUUGUCUGCUCGGGCAACUUGGAACAAAAGGAGAAACUCGGAUGAACUCUCUCCAUCUCUCUCUCUCUCUCUCUCCUCUCCCGGGUUAUCUCAUCUUCGGCAACUUUAUCCGGAGAGAUUUACUCAACUUUCUCCGAGCUCUCUCUCUCCCGCCGCUUGAAAGCAAACAGCCCCGCGGUAGGCUCCUAAGGAAAUCGGGUUUCGCAGUUUAAAGAAAGGAGAAGGUCAAAACAUGGUCACUGGGGAAAUGGAAUGGUUGCCAAAAUGUCAGACUGUGAUGGGUGCCAUAUUGCAUUAUUCUUUGAGCAGUGGAAUACAGCUUGGUAUUCUUCAGGGGUGGCUAACGUGGUACAAACUGUAGCGUACAGCUGCUGAACAUCUUAACCAUUUGGAUUCAUAUAUAACUUACUGGACGCCUGGAAGAAGUGGAAGAGCUUUUUGCUGAAACUUGAGGAUAUUGUGGGAAAUGCUGCUGAGAGCCAAUUGGAUUAUAUCGCUAUCUGACAUCAAGGUCCUGCAGCUGAUGAAAGGACUUCACCAGGUCUUCUUGUUACAUGGUUUCUGAAGCAUUAUCCUGGGACAGCAGUAAUGAUUGAUGAACACGCUUCGGGCUUGAAUCACAGAGCAGUGUGAGGAUUUACACUUCUGAAGUAGGAGUGUGAAUGGGAUUGAAGGAUUUACAUGCAGGAUUCUGAACUCCCCUCCCUUCUGCUCCAGGAAAGACAGGGGCCUACUAUGAGACUUGUGGGUAUGAUCCACAUGCGCUACUGAAGCUGACUCGAAUGGUGUGACAAAUGUGAUGUCUUUAUCCUGCUAGGAGACGCAGGCGGAUCAUUCUUUACCAGCUGUCAAGGCCAGUGUUACCUCCUCAGUGCCCUGGUGAGGGGGUGCCUUAGAAGGGCUGUGCAGAACAAGCUUUGAACUGCCUCUGCACUUCACUUCAGGCUCCCUGCACUGCAUAAAGCUGCACCAUUCGGAAGAAGCGAGAUUGUCUUCCCUUACAGCUACGACGCUGCACCGCUCUCGGCACAGCCUGCUUUUCCCCCAUUUACCUGGGCGGCUGCUGCUGCUUCUGCUGCUGCUGGGGCUGCUGCAGUCUCGCUGCCUGUGCUUCACCCCGGCUUGGCUGACUCGAAACUCACUUGUCUGCACAUUGCUAAGGAAGAAGAGAGAUGGAGCCGCAUUUUUUUCUGUUGGUUCUGGAAGCAAAGGGUUGCGAUAUGUGAUGAUUUGGGGGUUUUCUUUUGUGGGGAGGAGGGAGGGGGAACGGAUGGAGGAGAAAGGAGGGGUGUUAAUCUAGGAUGGGGUGGGUGAAAGCUUAAAGAAAUAUUAUGUAAAGUAAUCCAGUGCUUGACAAGGGCAUCAGCAGCAAGAAUCCAGCCUCUGCUGCUCCAGAGGAUUAACAAGGGGAAGCCACAGUGCUGCAGUCGGGUUUCACCUCAGCGUUGUGCUGGAGAUGGAUAAAUAAGGUAUCGGUUAUGUCUGCCUGUUAAGGCAAAGCCAUGGGAGAAGGAGAGAGCGAGUGAAUGCAAAUGCAAAAGAAGAAGAAAUGCUACGUGCCGUUUGUCUGAUUCUGUGCAUUCUCAUUGCUGAGAGGAUGGCUCGAUUAACAAAGCAAUGUAUGGACGGAGGGACUGUAAAUUGUGGCUCGAACAUUCCUGAUGCUGUCAGGGAGGGGACUGAUGAGCUAGGUGGCUGCAGCGAUAUCCCCAGGGAAAACAGCAACCACGCGCUCUGUGUGUACUCUGUGUGUAUAUAUAUGUAUGUAUGUGCUUUUGUGUGUGUGUGAGCAUGUAUAGACACGAAAGACAAACAUUUCUGACCAAUUUAUAGAGGAAGUUUGUCACUUUGCUGGGUCAGACUUGAUUGCAGCUUGUAUUUUCAGCUAUAACUCUACACCCAUUUCCUGACUGAGGCGGCACUUUGUGAAAACAGAUGUAGACAGAAUUAAGAAAUGUGAAAGCAAAUCCUUUCCGCUUAACACCUUGAAGCACUGAAUCUUCUGUGCUGUGCUGAGAGAAACUGGGGGGGAGUGUUUCGUUUUCUCCAUCUUAAAAUCUCUAUAAACACAGCUGUAUUCAGUAUGGUGAAAAAUUCUAUACUGUAAAUAGAAAUGUGAUCAAUCUAAUCAAAAUAAAUGCAUCCCAGAUGACUUCUAGACCAGCUGGCUACCACAGUCAUCAGAUGGCUAAAUGCUCAACUGAGAAAAUUGAGCAUUUUAUAUUCAGCUUAAUAUUUACUUUUUUUUUUUUUUUUUUUCUUUUUUAAGAAUUUCAAAAUCGGCUUCUAAUUAAAAAGGAUUCUUCAUCUAUUGAGAAAAGGCAAUGCUCACGUUUGGCAAUAGAUUUCUCUGAAAUGUACAUGAAUAUAUUUUAUAUUGCCGAACACGCGUGGGGGAGACCGUGUUUUUAGAGCAGGUAGACUUGUCACUGUACAGGCAUAUUUAGUUUGGUAGGCAGCUCGGCUUGGCCACGUCUGAACAAUGCAGAAAUAGGGGAAACAAGUGCCGCACUCAGCUAGUGAGACUUGGCAUGGCUUCUAGCAGCUGCCUGCUAAGAAAGAGGUGUUUUUUGUUUUUGUUUUUGUUUUUUUUUUUUUCCCCCUUCAUUUUUUUUCCUUUUAUACAAAUCCAUAGACCAUAAUGUCAUCCUAAAAUGUGUACAAGGGGAUUUCCCAAUAGUCAUGGUGAGCUACCCUGCAAGACGCCUGUCUGGCCCUUCUACUAUUUGUUCCCCAGCCUACAAAGGCACCCCUGUGUGUUGGAUUAUAUUUAGCCAGCUGUUGGAUAACAUUCUUGUGCUGGGGGCAAAGGAGUCUUAUUACUCCCAAACUGUAGUUUUCUGUUUGCUUAAAGAAAAAUAAUCUUGGCAAUACAGCAGGCUCUGCAAAGGGGUUUGUGCCACUCCUAUACCUUUCUGAAACUGUGGUGUGCUUCUAACUUGGGCGGUUUAAAGCAAGCAAGGAAGAGGAAGAGAAACUCUUAACUCACAGCUUCUAAGCUGUAGAGACGAGCAAAAUGUCAGCAGCUUGUAAUUAGGAGUCCACGGUUACGUCGGUGACAGUAUCUCUCCAAGAAUAGCUAUGUGAUGUGUGCCACAAAGCAAAGGAAGACAGUCAUAACCUGGUUAUCAAGCCUGGUUCAAACAAGAAAGAGCAAAAUGGAUUAAUGAAUCUGCUGUGUUCCUAAAUCAAAUGUGGAUGGAUUACAUGUAUGAGGCUUGCUGAAUUCUGCAGCACUGAAGACUGAAUUAUUGGGUUGUCAGAGGGCACGCAUUCACCGAGUGAAAGUGUGAAACCUUCAGAAAAAAAUGCAAACGAACCAUGUACCCUAGAAAAUGUCUUUCCCAGCUCUGCCCUGUACAGGCAGGUGUGUGACACGGAGGUGUGCUCUGAGAGGAGAGACUGGCGAGCUGCACAGAGGUGUUUAAAAGGGAGGGUGUAAUUAAUCACAAAGCAAGCAUGCCAAAAUUCUGUUCUGGCGUUACAGAUUUGAUACCGAGAUACCGCCCCAGAGAAGACUCGCUGGGGUCUGGUGUGGUUUAUAUUCAGGCUUCUCUGGUUAAAGGGUGACGGGGAGCGGGAAGGGCUUCAUGCAGCAUCUUGCAGCCACGCGCAAGUCCCCAGUGCCGUGGGGGGACGGGGGACGUGUGGGGCAAUGUGCUCUUAAAGGCACAUGCCCAGACCCCACCAGGAGCUUUCUGUGCUCCGACAUUAGUUUCAGGUCUGUGCCGGCAACUCGGCAGCAUUUAAGCAGCGAAAUCGCAGGGGGUGCUUAAUCUGCUCCAACCGCCCUUUCUCAGUGUUGUGGCUGGGAGAUGUUUAGAGGGCUUUGAUCAAUGCCCCUCCACAAUAUUCAGCGUGCGUGGCUGUCGGUGUUCACGCCGCCCAUUUGCCAGAAGCCUGGCGUGGUUCCCUGCUCCCAGCAGAAGUCGGGUGCAGUUCAGCUCCGUUUAUGUCACUGUUUAAUUUACCAGGAUAGGUAGAUUGCAUUAUGCAAGCAGUGGGUUUGGUUUGGUUUGUUUUUUUUUUUUUUUUUUUGGACUGCGAACACAAAUUUGUAGGAGGAGGUGACUCUGUAUAUUAAACCAAUAGCUCUUUGAAUUUUGUGUAGUAUAAUUUAAAUAUACUUACUUUAAUUAAUAGAAGGUUACAAAAGCUGGCAUUGUCUGGGGCUGUUUAAUUUACAUCUUAGGUUUAGUCGAUGAGCAUAACCUGCCUGAUUAGAAUAGUGUAUUCUGCACAGCCAACAGGGUGGAAGACAUUAUUUUGUUUGUGUUGGUUCAAACAGCUGGUCAUUAAUGCAGGCCCCAUCUCCAGAGCGAAGUGCUAGUGGACAUGAAUGGCUGUCUGAUUAAUGCUGCCCCUCGACAGGUCCUUCAUCCAGCAGUGAUGCUCACAGCAGAAUAAUGCAGAGUGAUUUGAUUGCGCUCUAACAGGGUAGUAUGUCAUUGUGUCACCAAGCAAUCGAGGUUAUUAUGGGGCAGGGCAGACAGACGGGACAGUGGGGUUACUAGACCGUGGCAUUUUUAGAAAUGCAGGCCUGACCUACUUAGAGUUAUUCUUGCUGGCUGGCAGCUGCCUGGUGCAGGGCUCCCCCUGAUAGGCUGUGGCUGUUGCUAGGGGGAAUUAGCAUGAAUUUUUCCACAUACAGACUCAGUGAUUGAAUGAUAAAAGCUGACUGGAAUUAAAGAGAUUCGGUUCAGUAUUAUGCAGAUUUAUCUCCCUGUUUUUUUUAUUUUUUUUUUUUCCACUCUCUCAAAUGCAUAAAAAGGAGCAGAAGACGGUUUAUUUCCAUUUAUUUUUGACCUAUUUUUUUUCCAGGGGAGGGCAGAAGUGUUGUGAAUUUUUGAUCAUCAUUUAGUAUUUAAGCCGUUGAAAUGAUAUGACAGUGAGCAUGCAUCUUUAAUGUAUAGGACAUUCAAAUGCUGUCUCUUUGGAAGGGAGUGAAAUGAAUAUAUUUUGUGUUCUGGUCAGACUGUCGCCUCUUUCUAUUUGAAGCUAUGUCAGAUUCCCUUGUCUGGAAAGGGGAAACAUAUACCAGGUUUUAUUGCAUAACGUUACUCUUGACUAUUUUUAUCUAUCUGUACUUCACAAAAUUAGUCCUGUGUUUAUGUUGGUGGAUGAAGUUAAUCCCCGGACUGUGUCUCCUGUAUGCAGAGACAGAUGCCCAGGGUCUGCUGCAGUGUCGUGUGUCAUGUUCAUCUGAAAAGGUGUUUACGUACUACAGACGUAUCAGCACUGCAUACCUAGCAGCAGACUGAUGCCUGGCCUGUAAUCAGAUCAAUUAGAGAACCUCUUCUGGAUUUUUGAGUAUUACUCAGGCUUUGGUUUGAAGUUAGAUUUUUUUAGAUGGCCCUUAUUUAUUUAUCUACAUCUGCCUAAAAUAGUGUUAUUUUUUCAGCAAACUCUAUGCUCCCUCAGGAAGCAAAUAAAAACAAUACUCAGUGAAUAAUCCUUUGAUGUUAUUACGAAUAUUUCCUUUGUUAUUAUCACUAAUUAUAGAAGGUCUUUGUUUAAAAUGCAAUUCCCCUCUGUGUGAUCUUUUACCAUGCAAAGAAGUUAUAAUUUAGUGCUUAUAAUUUUAAAUGAUUUUUUCAUGGCAACUCAUCGUGACAUCACACUUGAAGAAUCGGGAAUUUUCAGAGUAAGAGGCAACUGGGAAUGGGGGAGAGGGACUCAAAAGUCUUUGGAAUUACAAAAUAAAAAGUGUGACUGGGUGCUGAAAA